AAAACUUAGCACUAUCCCAAAGAACUGUAAAAGUCAUAUGCAAUUGAUACUAAAAGAGAGAAGGGUUGGGCAUUAGUUUAAUAUUGUAUUAGGCACGUUUUAUAGUGGGGAGGCUAAAUUAAUUACAUCUGAACACUCUCUCAUAAUAAUUCAUUUUACAGGAGCUUAAAAACGAGGAAAGCAUGAAGGUGCCUUUUUUCCAUUGGGAAGGCAGACAAUGUGUUAUUGUUUAUGGAGGGAUUUAUGACAUGACAUUGAUUGCCUAACAAAUAAGAGAGUUUGGGAUGUUAAUUUUGGCCCUGCCCUAGCGACAACGACCAUGGAACGCUACAGUUUACAACUAUCUCAGAUUCUAUCUACGAUAAAUGAGUGAGAAGAUUGAAGUUUAUUUUAAUAAUAGUGAAAAAGCAAGUCGUCUCCUAUGAUGCUUUAUCUGUUAUCAUCUGGGAGACUUGUAGUUAAUUAAGGAACAUUAGAAAACACCAGAUGCCAUUAAAUUAAGGAGCAUGGAAGUGCCUUUUUUUCUUGGGAAUAAAAAGACAGUGUGCUGUUACUGUAGAAAAGAUUCAUGACAGUGAACUGGAAGGUUGGAUGAACUCCAGAUUCUGUUAAAUUAUGGGGCAGUGGUUGUCUCAGUCGUCAAUCGCUCCAGAAAGUAGCUUUGCCUAUGGUCCUAAAAAAAAGCAUGAAAACACAUUUUUCCAUUGGGAACGAAGACAGUGUGCUGUUGCUGAAGAAAGGAUUUAUGACAAUGAACUGAUUGUCGUAACAAAUUAGAAGGAAUUGGUGCUACUGAAACAACCGAUGCUUUUGAUGUUUUCAUCUUGCAACAUUAUGCAGUUAGUUUUGGCCGUGAGAAUGGGAGGCAAAUGGAAAUUAAUUAGGAAGCCACUGAAACAACAAAUUGUCUGCAGUGAUAUCUCUCCUAGAUUUGUUUUGCUCUGCUCAUAAUACUGGUAGACUUUGGAACGCUAAUUUCUACAGGUAGUCAAGAUCGUGCAACAAAUGGGAGGGAAUUGAAGUUCAGUUUGGUCAUUCUAAAACAAUCAUUGUCUACAUGGGUGUGGUCUUUGGUGAACUACAUUCUUGAUUUGCUGUUUUCGUCUUCGCUUUGCAUCAUUGUGCAGUUAGUUUUGAACUGAUGAGUGAUAGCAACUGAAUAUUUAUUUGAUUACCACUGGAAUAAGGAAUUUUCUGCAUUGGCAUUCCUGGAUUUUGUUUGCUUUUCACACCUGCAAACUUUGGAACAUUAUUA